UACGUAGGGGGCGAGCGUUGUCCGAAGUUACUGGGCGUAAAGCGCGCGUAGGCGGUUUCUUAAGUCUGAGGUGAAAGGUUCAACGCUUAACGUGAACAGUGCCUUGGAUACUGGGAGACUUGAGUGUGGCAGAGGAUAGUGGAAUUCCUGGUGUAGCGGUGAAAUGCGUAGAUAUCAGGAGGAACACCCAUGGCGAAGGCAGCUAUCUGGGCUAACACUGACGCUGAGGUGCGAAAGCGUGGGGAGCGAACAGG
rnacentral:rRNA from 1 species